UUUAAUAAAAUCAAUAUUUUUCCAAAUUUCUUAAAUAUACAAGCGAUGAAAUUGAGAAAAAGUAAACUCGUAAUUUUUCCACCAAAAAACAUAAAUCCGUGAUUUUCUCGCCAACAACGUAAACCCGUGAUUUUCCCGCCAAAAACGUAAAACCGUGAGUUUCCCGCCAAAAAUGUAAAUCCAUAAUUUUCCCGCCAAAAACCAAAACCGGUGAUUUUUCCGCCAAAAACGUAAAUCCGUGAUUUUCCCGCCAAAAACGUAAACCCGUAAUUUUCCCGCCAAAAACGUAAAUCCGUGAUUUUCCUGCCAAAAUGUAAACCCGUGAUUUUCCCGCCAAAAACGUAAACCCGAGAUUUUCCCGCCAAAAACGUAAACCCGUAAUUUUCCCGCCAAAAAACGUAAACUCGUGAUUUUCCCGCCAAAAACGUAAAUCCGUAAAAAGUGGAAUCCGUAAAUAUCCUAAAUUUGAUGAUAAUGAAUUAAUAAUGAUAAUUAUUUAUUAUUAUUUUAUU
rnacentral:sRNA from 1 species